rnacentral:rRNA from 2 species
AACUUUCAGCAACGGAUCUCUUGGCUCUCGCAUCGAUGAAGAACGCAGCGAAAUGCGAUAAGUAAUGUGAAUUGCAGAAUUCAGUGAAUCAUCGAAUCUUUGAACGCACCUUGCGCCCUUUGGCUAUUCUGAAGGGCAUGCCUGUUUGAGUAUCG